CAAGUCGAGCGAAUCUGAGGGAGCUUGCUCCCAAAGGUUAGCGGCGGACGGGUGAGUAACACGUGGGCAACCUGCCUGUAAGACUGGGAUAACUUCGGGAAACCGGAGCUAAUACCGGAUAAUUCUUACCAACACAUGUUGGUAAGCUAAAAGACGGCGCAAGCUGUCACUUACAGAUGGGCCCGCGGCGCAUUAGCUAGUUGGUAAGGUAAUGGCUUACCAAGGCAACGAUGCGUAGCCGACCUGAGAGGGUGAUCGGCCACACUGGGACUGAGACACGGCCCAGACUCCUACGGGAGGCAGCAGUAGGGAAUCUUCCGCAAUGGACGAAAGUCUGACGGAGCAACGCCGCGUGAGUGAUGAAGGUUUUCGGAUCGUAAAACUCUGUUGUUAGGGAAGAACAAGUACGAGAGUAACUGCUCGUACCUUGACGGUACCUAACCAGAAAGCCACGGCUAACUACGUGCCAGCAGCCGCGGUAAUACGUAGGUGGCAAGCGUUGUCCGGAAUUAUUGGGCGUAAAGCGCGCGCAGGCGGUCCUUUAAGUCUGAUGUGAAAGCCCACGGCUCAACCGUGGAGGGUCAUUGGAAACUGGGGGACUUGAGUGCAGGAGAGAAGAGUGGAAUUCCACGUGUAGCGGUGAAAUGCGUAGAGAUGUGGAGGAACACCAGUGGCGAAGGCGACUCUUUGGCCUGUAACUGACGCUGAGGCGCGAAAGCGUGGGGAGCAAACAGGAUUAGAUACCCUGGUAGUCCACGCCGUAAACGAUGAGUGCUAAGUGUUAGAGGGUUUCCGCCCUUUAGUGCUGAAGUAAACGCAUUAAGCACUCCGCCUGGGGAGUACGGCCGCAAGGCUGAACUCAAGGAAUUGACGGGGACCCGCACAAGCGGUGGA
rnacentral:rRNA from 1 species